rnacentral:rRNA from 1 species
GGUUAAGCGACUAAGCGUACACGGUGGAUGCCCUGGCAGUCAGAGGCGAUGAAGGACGUGCUAAUCUGCGAUAAGCGUCGGUAAGGUGAUAUGAACCGUUAUAACCGGCGAUUUCCGAAUGGGGAAACCCAGUGUGUUUCGACACACUAUCAUUAACUGAAUCCAUAGGUUAAUGAGGCGAACCGGGGGAACUGAAACAUCUAAGUACCCCGAGGAAAAGAAAUCAACCGAGAUUCCCCCAGUAGCGGCGAGCGAACGGGGAGCAGCCCAGAGCCUGAAUCAGUGUGUGUGUUAGUGGAAGCGUCUGGAAAGGCGCGCGAUACAGGGUGAUAGCCCCGUACACAAAAAUGCACAUGCUGUGAGCUCGAUGAGUAGGGCGGGACACGUGGUAUCCUGUCUGAAUAUGGGGGGACCAUCCUCCAAGGCUAAAUACUCCUGACUGACCGAUAGUGAACCAGUACCGUGAGGGAAAGGCGAAAAGAACCCCGGCGAGGGGAGUGAAAAAGAACCUGAAACCGUGUACGUACAAGCAGUGGGAGCACGCUUAGGCGUGUGACUGCGUACCUUUUGUAUAAUGGGUCAGCGACUUAUAUUCUGUAGCAAGGUUAACCGAAUAGGGGAGCCGAAGGGAAACCGAGUCUUAACUGGGCGUUAAGUUGCAGGGUAUAGACCCGAAACCCGGUGAUCUAGCCAUGGGCAGGUUGAAGGUUGGGUAACACUAACUGGAGGACCGAACCGACUAAUGUUGAAAAAUUAGCGGAUGACUUGUGGCUGGGGGUGAAAGGCCAAUCAAACCGGGAGAUAGCUGGUUCUCCCCGAAAGCUAUUUAGGUAGCGCCUCGUGAAUUCAUCUCCGGGGGUAGAGCACUGUUUCGGCAAGGGGGUCAUCCCGACUUACCAACCCGAUGCAAACUGCGAAUACCGGAGAAUGUUAUCACGGGAGACACACGGCGGGUGCUAACGUCCGUCGUGAAGAGGGAAACAACCCAGACCGCCAGCUAAGGUCCCAAAGUCAUGGUUAAGUGGGAAACGAUGUGGGAAGGCCCAGACAGCCAGGAUGUUGGCUUAGAAGCAGCCAUCAUUUAAAGAAAGCGUAAUAGCUCACUGGUCGAGUCGGCCUGCGCGGAAGAUGUAACGGGGCUAAACCAUGCACCGAAGCUGCGGCAGCGACGCUGAUGCGUUGUUGGGUAGGGGAGCGUUCUGUAAGCCUGCGAAGGUGUGCUGUGAGGCAUGCUGGAGGUAUCAGAAGUGCGAAUGCUGACAUAAGUAACGAUAAAGCGGGUGAAAAGCCCGCUCGCCGGAAGACCAAGGGUUCCUGUCCAACGUUAAUCGGGGCAGGGUGAGUCGACCCCUAAGGCGAGGCCGAAAGGCGUAGUCGAUGGGAAACAGGUUAAUAUUCCUGUACUUGGUGUUACUGCGAAGGGGGGACGGAGAAGGCUAUGUUGGCUGGGCGACGGUUGUCCCGGUUUAAGCGUGUAGGCUGGUUUUCCAGGCAAAUCCGGAAAAUCAAGGCUGAGGCGUGAUGACGAGGCACUACGGUGCUGAAGCAACAAAUGCCCUGCUUCCAGGAAAAGCCUCUAAGCAUCAGGUAACAUCAAAUCGUACCCCAAACCGACACAGGUGGUCAGGUAGAGAAUACCAAGGCGCUUGAGAGAACUCGGGUGAAGGAACUAGGCAAAAUGGUGCCGUAACUUCGGGAGAAGGCACGCUGAUAUGUAGGUGAGGUCCCUCGCGGAUGGAGCUGAAAUCAGUCGAAGAUACCAGCUGGCUGCAACUGUUUAUUAAAAACACAGCACUGUGCAAACACGAAAGUGGACGUAUACGGUGUGACGCCUGCCCGGUGCCGGAAGGUUAAUUGAUGGGGUUAGCGCAAGCGAAGCUCUUGAUCGAAGCCCCGGUAAACGGCGGCCGUAACUAUAACGGUCCUAAGGUAGCGAAAUUCCUUGUCGGGUAAGUUCCGACCUGCACGAAUGGCGUAAUGAUGGCCAGGCUGUCUCCACCCGAGACUCAGUGAAAUUGAACUCGCUGUGAAGAUGCAGUGUACCCGCGGCAAGACGGAAAGACCCCGUGAACCUUUACUAUAGCUUGACACUGAACAUUGAGCCUUGAUGUGUAGGAUAGGUGGGAGGCUUGGAAGUGUGGACGCCAGUCUGCAUGGAGCCGACCUUGAAAUACCACCCUUUAAUGUUUGAUGUUCUAACGUUGACCCGUAAUCCGGGUUGCGGACAGUGUCUGGUGGGUAGUUUGACUGGGGCGGUCUCCUCCUAAAGAGUAACGGAGGAGCACGAAGGUUGGCUAAUCCUGGUCGGACAUCAGGAGGUUAGUGCAAUGGCAUAAGCCAGCUUGACUGCGAGCGUGACGGCGCGAGCAGGUGCGAAAGCAGGUCAUAGUGAUCCGGUGGUUCUGAAUGGAAGGGCCAUCGCUCAACGGAUAAAAGGUACUCCGGGGAUAACAGGCUGAUACCGCCCAAGAGUUCAUAUCGACGGCGGUGUUUGGCACCUCGAUGUCGGCUCAUCACAUCCUGGGGCUGAAGUAGGUCCCAAGGGUAUGGCUGUUCGCCAUUUAAAGUGGUACGCGAGCUGGGUUUAGAACGUCGUGAGACAGUUCGGUCCCUAUCUGCCGUGGGCGCUGGAGAACUGAGGGGGGCUGCUCCUAGUACGAGAGGACCGGAGUGGACGCAUCACUGGUGUUCGGGUUGUCAUGCCAAUGGCACUGCCCGGUAGCUAAAUGCGGAAGAGAUAAGUGCUGAAAGCAUCUAAGCACGAAACUUGCCCCGAGAUGAGUUCUCCCUGACCCUUUAAGGGUCCUGAAGGAACGUUGAAGACGACGACGUUGAUAGGCCGGGUGUGUAAGCGCAGCGAUGCGUUGAGCUAACCGGUACUAAUGAACCGUGAGGCUUAACCUU